UACGUAGGGUGCGAGCGUUGUCCGGAAUUAUUGGGCGUAAAGAGCUCGUAGGCGGUGUGUCACGUCGGCCGUGAAAACCUGGGGCUCAACUCUGGGCGUGCGGUCGAUACGGGCAUCACUAGAGUUCGGCAGGGGAGACUGGAAUUCCUGGUGUAGCGGUGAAAUGCGCAGAUAUCAGGAAGAACACCCGUGGCGAAGGCGGCUCUCUGGGACGGUACUGACGCUGAGACGCGAAAGCGUGGGGAGCGAACAGG
rnacentral:rRNA from 1 species